AUUUUCCUUUGUUUGCAGACGUCGUUAUGUCGCUCUUACAAUUUUUCUUAUUUUUUGGUAGAAAAAGUGAUUUUUCUGUACACUAUUUGAGUAUAUUCUGUUCCUUAAGGCCUGUUUAAUCUUCUAAAAAUAAGCGUUACCUAUUCAUAAUACACACCAGCACAUAAAGACCACCUAAAAGAAGAGACUUGGAUCACCUCUUGCCUUUUGUAUAAUCCUGAUUCUCCCAAUGUUUUGCCAUCGUUCUGUUUUACGAGUUGGUCUUUCAUUAUCUCUUUAAAAAUUUUCUACAACAAAUCGAUGAAUGUAUACAGUUCCAGGGCAGUACAUUUAUCCUUUUCAUGAAUGUUACCAACAAUGCAUCAGGACUUAUAAGUAUAUCUAAAAUUUUAUUUCUUUUGGGUAAAUAAAUAUAUAUUUUUACUGGUUUUUAAUGUUCAUCAGUAGAUUUCAUAAUUUUGAAAUUUAAUUAAGAAAAAUUUUUAACGGUUUUCUGAGUUAUAUUCUUGUCUGUAUAAUCAAGGGUUAUAUUUUUUAUGGUUCCUCAUUAUCAUCUCUAUUAUAGCUUCACUCCCUCGUUUUCUUGAUUAUGGAAAUAAUUUUAUUUAUCAUUUUUAUAAAAUAUUUGAUCCAUUACCUGUAUUUCUAUAGGUUUUGUUUGGUACAAUAUUCCAUCUACUUAGAAUUUGACUUCAUUUUGUUUAUGGUUAACGGUCAUUUUUCUAUAACAGCUCGACUCUCAUAUUUUCUUCAUUGUGGGAAACAUAUCAUUCAUCAAUUCUAUAAAAUCUUCCAUUGAUUGUAGGUAUUUCAAUAAGUCUUUUUUUAUUUGUAUUAUUUUUCUUAUGGUGUCAUUUUUCUAAUACUUUUUUUGCUUGUGUAAUUCCUUGUACAGAUUUUCAGUUUUAAUGGAUUCAUUUCCAUGUCAUUUUCCUCAAAUCAUAUGCCAUGAAUCUCUGUAAUUUUACGGAUUUUAUUUGUUUAUUUUGUAUGUGUUUAAAUAUAAUUUAAACACCAUAACACACUUAAAAAUCUCACAAUAAGGACUAAUUUCCGAUCAAUUCCUGGCGCAUUCGCCAUUUAGUAAAAAACUGACGUCCACUUCUGGCUUUUCUAGCAUUUUGCUAAUGCAUUUUCCUGAGUCACAUCGACUCCAGAGCAUCAUAGCUAGCCUUCCCAAAGAGGAGGAGACCCGGGUCACCCCCUAAUCCUGAUGUUCGGCCAUCGAUGACCUAUGUAGCAUGCAUAGGUACCCAAGGGAGUCACCACCCUCUGGUUUACGAGCUAGGUGUUCUAACGCUAGAGGCUUCGGCCGGAUACGACCUGGCACCCAAGCUACGAGACUUCUUCGUGCACGUAUCCCGUGACGUCUCGACAGUAGAGGGGGCGGGAUAUCGGACACAUUGAAGAUGAUGAGGGGGGUCCGCCUGUAGGGGGUCCCGGUGGAUGUCCGCUCGAUGGGUGUCGAGGGUGACCCGAGACGAGGCUGCUUAGCUCGGAUGGGAACUGACUGGUGAGGCUUAAUUGUCGGCCAAGGGUUAAAUCUGAUGAAGGGGGGCGAAUCUAUAUGCUCUGGAGGAUUUUUUUAUAUGUGCUUUAUGUCAUAUAUUGACCAGAUAUUUCUGAGAGGAGGCUAAGCGUAGCUUUUUAUCAAUUCCCCAUUUCUUAUUGACCACAUAUUUCUUUACUUUUUUCUCUGGCUUUUGGCCUACCUCUGUUAUAAAAUUUUUGCCUCUCAUAUUUUCUUUAUUAAUGCAAUAUCAUUCAUUCUUCUUAGACACAUAUUUCAUCAAUUCUAUUGUCUGUUUAGCAUUAUAGCUUUUUAUUUAUUUUCAUGCCAUUUUUUUCCAAUUCAACCUCCAUGUUUAUGCCAUUUUAUCCAAUUCAUCAUAUCCCUAUUUAAUUUUUUCACUCAUAUUUUCUUUAUUAUUGGAGUAUCAUUCAUUAAUUCUGUAUAAUACUCUUCCAAUAAUUGUCUUAUAUAUUAGUAGAUUUUUUGUGAUUUGUUCAUUUUUAUGCCAUUUGACUCAAUAUAUCCACCAUUUAUUUUUUUCAGUGCAUCAUAUAUUAUCUAUUUCACUAUUUGUCUCAUAUAUUCUUCUUAUGGGAAUACCAUCAUUCAAUUCUAUGCACUCUUUUAUUGGUUGCAUUUCUAAGUCUUCUUAUAUGUAUAAUUUUUUGUGUCAUUCUUCUGAGACUUCUCUAAGUUAUGCAUUUUUUUAUUUCCCCAUACCUCUAUUUCUUUAUUUUUCUCUCACAUUAUCUUCAAUCUAUGAACUAUAUAAUUUCUAUGUACUCCUCAUUUUGUUUCUAAAUCCAUUUAAAAUUAAGUUUUUGUAUGGGAUAUUGUACUGCUUUGGAACAAGGUUUUUUUGGGACAGCUGCACCUCAACAACCCCCUUCAAGAUGCCAUUAGGUGGAUUAAAAUCAACAUUCAACAGUGGAUUGAAAAGAAAAUUCAUCAUUCAAGAGGAAAUUAAAUAAUUUUAGAACGAAGACUUUCCAGAAGGGUAGCCAGAAGAUUUAUUUACCUCAACAUAGACAUCCACAUGUUCAUCAGCACCUUGG
rnacentral:lncRNA from 1 species